CUCCUACGGGAGGCAGCAGUGGGGAAUAUUGGGCAAUGGGGGAAACCCUGACCCAGCAACGCCGCGUCAGGGAAGAAGGUUUUCGGAUUGUAAACCUCUGUCCUAAGAGAAGAGGGGAAGACGGUAUCUUAGGAGGAAGCCCCGGCUAACUACGUGCCAGCAGCCGCGGUAAUACGUAGGGGGCGAGCGUUGUCCGGAAUGAUUGGGCGUAAAGGGCGUGUAGGCGGCUUUAUAAGUCUGGAGUGAAAGUCCUGUUUUCAAGAUGGGAAUUGCUUUGGAUACUGUAGGGCUUGAGUGCAGGAGAGGUUAUCGGAAUUCCCGGUGUAGCGGUGAAAUGCGUAGAGAUCGGGAGGAACACCAGUGGCGAAGGCGGGUAACUGGACUGCAACUGACGCUGAGGCGCGAAAGUGUGGGGAGCAAACAGGAUUAGAUACCCUGGUAGUCCACACUGUAAACGAUGAAUGCUAGGUGUAGGGGGUAUCGACCCCUUCUGUGCCGGAGUAAACACAAUAAGCAUUCCGCCUGGGGAGUACGGCCGCAAGGUUGAAACUCAAAGGAAUUGACGGGGGCCCGCACAAGCAGCGGAGCAUGUGGUUUAAUUCGACGCAACGCGAAGAACCUUACCAGGUCUUGACAUCCACUUAAAGCCAUAGAGAUAUGGUGUGAGCUUGCUCGAAGUGAGACAGGUGGUGCAUGGUUGUCGUCAGCUCGUGUCGUGAGAUGUUGGGUUAAGUCCCGCAACGAGCGCAACCCUUGCUGAUAGUUACUAACGUGUAAAGACGAGGACUCUAUCAGGACUGCCGGGGACAACUCGGAGGAAGGUGGGGACGACGUCAAAUCAUCAUGCCCCUUAUGACCUGGGCUACACACGUGCUACAAUGGCCGUUACAAAGAGAAGCGAGGCUGCAAAGCGGAGCAGAUCUCAAAAAAGCGGUCUGCAGUUCGGAUUGUGGGCUGCAACCCGCCCACAUGAAGUCGGAGUUGCUAGUAAUCGCGGAUCAGCAUGCCGCGGUGAAUACGUUCCCCGGCCUUUAACACCGC
rnacentral:rRNA from 1 species